UUCUUGCAGGUUAUAGUGUAUCAGAAGAAUUAAUAGAGGAUCUGGUCAUCUGUCGGCAGACUAAAGUUGGGAUGAUGUUGAGAAUGUGUAUUUCUGGGAUUUGUGUUAAAGAUGGAUCCAUUCAAUGUUUCACACUAGCUUCCGAAAAUAAAUUGUUUGGUGUAAUAUUCCAGUGUUUCUCAAAAGGUUACCAAUAUCGUUGUAUUUAGUAUUUUACUAUUUCGCAAUUGUAUCCAUUGUCCGUCCCGAAACAAUAUCUCGUUUAUUUUAAUAUAUAAAAACUGGGAUAUUACACCAACAUUUUAAUAUACAUAAGUGUUCUC
rnacentral:lncRNA from 1 species